GAUGAACGCUAGCGGCAGGCUUAAUACAUGCAAGUCGAGGGGCAGCAUGACUGUAGCAAUACAGUUGAUGGCGACCGGCAAACGGGUGCGGAACACGUACAGAACCUUCCUUCGAGCGGGGAAUAGCCCAGAGAAAUUUGGAUUAAUACCCCAUAGUACAACGGAGUGGCAUCACUUUGUUGUUAAAGAUUUAUCACUUGAAGAUGGCUGUGCGGCUGAUUAGGUAGUUGGCGGGGUAACGGCCCACCAAGCCUGCGAUCAGUAACUGGUGUGAGAGCACGACCAGUCACACGGGCACUGAGACACGGGCCCGACUCCUACGGGAGGCAGCAGUAAGGAAUAUUGGUCAAUGGACGAAAGUCUGAACCAGCCAUGCCGCGUGGAGGAUGAAGGUCCUCUGGAUUGUAAACUUCUUUUUAUAUGGGACGAAAAAAGGGUUUUCUAACUCGUCUGACGGUACCAUAUGAAUAAGCACCGGCUAACUCCGUGCCAGCAGCCG
rnacentral:rRNA from 1 species